rnacentral:rRNA from 1 species
UACCAGCACCCCGAGUGGUCGGGACGUUUAUUGGGCCUAAAGCAUCCGUAGCCGGUUCUACAAGUCUUCCGUUAAAUCCACCUGCUUAACAGAUGGGCUGCGGAAGAUACUAUAGAGCUAGGAGGCGGGAGAGGCAAGCGGUACUCGAUGGGGUAGGGGUAAAAAUCCGUUGAUCCAUUGAAGACCACCAGUGGCGAAGGCGGCUUGCCAGAACGCGCUCGACGGUGAGGGAUGAAAGCUGGGGGGAGCAAACCGG